AACUGCGACCCCAGGUCAGGCGGGAUUACC
rnacentral:rRNA from 1 species